UACAGGGGGUGCAAGCGUUGUUCGGAAUUACUGGGCGUAAAGCGCGGGCAGGUGGCCCUUUAAGUCCUUUGUGAAAUCCCGGAGCUCAACUCCGGAUGUGCAUAGGAUACUGGAGGGCUUGAGACUGGUAGAGGCGAGCGGAAUUCCUGGUGUAGCGGUGAAAUGCGCAGAUAUCAGGAGGAACACCAAUUGCGAAGGCAGCUCGCUGGGACGUUACUGACGCUGAGACGCGAAAGCGUGGGGAGCAAACAGG
rnacentral:rRNA from 1 species